UACAAACCACACAGCACAAUUUUCUAUUUUUUAUUUAUUUUACCGAUAACAAUUUUCCUGUCCUGCUAAGCAUUCAAAAUGUAACACAUCUUUUGGGUGUCAGGGGGAAAAUUAUGGAGUAAAAAGUUAUUUUCUUUAUUUUACAUUAUUUAGUUUAGGAAUGUAGUGAAGUAAAAGUAUACAUUGUUAUAAAUAUGAAUAGUGAAGUCAAGUACAGAUACCCCCCAAAACUACUUAAGUUGUACUUUAAAGUAUUUUUUACUUCACACCACUUCAGCAGACUCAGAAACAAACCAAUAGAGAGAGUGGCAGGUAGUAGAGGUCAUGACAUAAACAAACCAAUAGAGAGAGUGGCAGGUAGUAGAGGUCAUGAUAUAAACUAACCAAUAGAGAGAGAGUGGCAGGUAGUAGAGGUCAUGACAUAAACAAACCAAUAGAGAGAGUGGCAGGUAGUAGAGGUCAUGAUAUAAACUAACCAAUAGAGAGAGAGUGGCAGGUAGUAGAGGUCAUGACAUAAACAAACCAAUAGAGAGAGUGGCAGGUAGUAGAGGUCAUGACAUAAACAAACCAAUAGAGAGAGAGUGGCAGGUAGUAGAGGUCAUGACAUAAACAAACCAAUAGAGAGAGUGGCAGGUAGUUGAGGUCAUGAUAUAAACAAACCAAUAGAGAGAGUGGCAGGUAGUAGAGGUCAUGACAUAAACAAACCAAUAGAGAGAGUGGCAGGUAGUAGAGGUCAUGACAUAAACAAACCAAUAGAGAGAGUGGCAGGUAGUAGAGGUCAUGACAUAAACAAACCAAUAGAGAGAGAGUGGUGGGUAGUAGAGGUCAGGACAUAAACUAACCAAUAGAGAGAGUGGCAGGUAGUAGAGGUCAUGACAUAAACAAACCAAUAGAGAGAGUGGCAGGUAGUAGAGGUCAUGACAUAAACAAACCAAUAGAGAGAGUGGCAGGUAGUAGAGGUCAUGACAUAAACUAACCAAUAGAGAGAGUGGCAGGUAGUAGAGGUCAUGACAUAAACAAACCAAUAGAGAGAGUGGCAGGUAGUAGAGGUCAUGACAUAAACUAACCAAUAGAGAGAGUGGCAGGUAGUAGAGGUCAUGACAUAAACAAACCAAUAGAGAGAGUGGCAGGUAGUUGAGGUCAUGAUAUAAACAAACCAAUAGAGAGAGUGGCAGGUAGUAGAGGUCAUGACAUAAACAAACCAAUAGAGAGAGUGGCAGGUAGUAGAGGUCAUGACAUAAACUAACCAAUAGAGAGAGUGGCAGGUAGUAGAGGUCAUGACAUAAACUAACCAAUAGAGAGAGUGGCAGGUAGUAGAGGUCAUGACAUAAACAAACCAAUAGAGAGAGUGGCAGGUAGUAGAGGUCAUGACAUAAACAAACCAAUAGAGAGAGUGGCAGGUAGUAGAGGUCAUGACAUAAACUAACCAAUAGAGAGAGUGGCAGGUAGUAGAGGUCAUGACAUAAACUAACCAAUAGAGAGAGUGGCAGGUAGUAGAGGUCAUGACAUAAACAAACCAAUAGAGAGAGUGGCAGGUAGUAGAGGUCAUGACAUAAACAAACCAAUAGAGAGAGUGGCAGGUAGUAGAGGUCAUGACAUAAACAAACCAAUAGAGAGAGUGGCAGGUAGUAGAGGUCAUGACAUAAACUAACCAAUAGAGAGAGUGGCAGGUAGUAGAGGUCAUGACAUAAACAAACCAAUAGAGAGAGUGGCAGGUAGUAGAGGUCAUGACAUAAACUAACCAAUAGAGAGAGUGGCAGGUAGUAGAGGUCAUGACAUAAACAAACCAAUAGAGAGAGUGGCAGGUAGUAGAGGUCAUGACAUAAACAAACACAUUUAGAGUUUGGGACCAAAAGGUUCUGUCUGCAUAAAGAUUAUUCUGAGAUAAUUGGCUUUACAUUUUCCUCGUUGAUUUGAAUGGUGUCAGCUAUUUUUUAUCUUGUAUUCUUUUGAACUUAACAUGAAUUGGGGUAUUUAGAGUAAUAUAUAUAUAUAUAUAUAUAUAUAUAUAUAUAUAUAUAUGUUGAGAACAUUGAAAAGAACAAGGCUAAAUGUCAAUAACUCAAUUUGAACAAAAAUACAGAUAGACGCUUAACAAACAUUGAAGUAAAACAAGCAUAUAUUUGGGGUUCUGAUAGGGGUAUAACACUUGAACUACACUCAUGAGGAAUUUAUAAACAUUCAAGAAUCAAUAAAUAUCAUACAUUUAUUAGUCAUAAAAUGAUUGCCCCUUUAAAGCAAUAAAUCAUGUUUGAAUGAGUGGUGAGGCAGAGAACAGUAUAAAAGAGUACUUUUGCCUAAAAUGUAUUUGAUCAAUACAGACUUAUUUGCAUAACAGGAUUCUCAACAACAAACAAUUUCUUCCACUUUCUUGAGUCACAGGAGCAACAAA